rnacentral:rRNA from 1 species
UAGGGAAUAUUGGGCAAUGGACGAAAGUCUGACCCAGCCACGCCGCGUGAAGGAUGACUGCCCUAUGGGUUGUAAACUUCUUUUGUAUGGGAAGAACCCUCCGAACGUGUUCGGAGCUGACGGUACCAUAAGAAUAAGCAUCGGCUAACUCCGUGCCAGCAGCCGCGGUAAUACGGAGGAUGCAAGCGUUGUCCGGAUUCAUUGGGUUUAAAGGGUGCGUAGGCGGAGAUUUAAGUCAGUGGUGAAAGCUUACAGCUUAACUGUAAAAAUGCCAUUGAAACUGAAUUUCUUGAGUUCGAUUGAGGUAGAUGGAAUGUAUCAUGUAGCGGUGAAAUGCUUAGAUAUGAUACAGAACACCAAUUGCGAAGGCAGUCUACUAAGUCGAUACUGACGCUGAGGCACGAAAGCAUGGGGAGCAAACAGG